UCGAGGUACAAAUUUCGAUCAUGUCUAUGCAAUGACGUUCUCCAUAUUCGAUUCUGUUCCAUUUGCAGAUAGAAGCAAACCUGAAAACAGCUAUCUAUUGAUUUCAGAUUUUUAGAGAAAUCAUAUGAACAAAUGCCCUAUUGCUUUUAUCUAUUGACUUUCACACAUUCGUUCAUUAUUCUUUCCGCCAUGAUUCUCAUUUUCCACACAUAUGCUCCAUGUCAUAUCUCAUUUAUGCUCAGUGUGAAAUCAACUAACGCUUACACUGUUGAUCUCGAAAUAACAUGUCUUAAAUGAAGUGUGCAGUUUGAGUCGCACUGCCCUUAUGCAAAUCAACUGUUUAUCUGUGAUGACAGUCUUUGUUUAACUGAGUUAGGAUCACCUGAUGAACCAACACGAUUCAAAGUCAUUGACAACGAGACACAUCGUCUGUGUGGUUGACAUGGACGCCUGGGUUCGAUGGCGGCUACCCCCAGGAGUUUGUAAUGGAAUACCGAAAAUUUGGCUCUUCCACAUGGAAUGUAUUUGGUUACUUCGGAGAUACUGGUAACAUGUUUGUGUUGGAAGUGAACAGUUUGGCACCUGGAGAGACAUACACCUUCCGGCUGCAUGCUCGGAAUGCAAAGUACGAGGCAUCAACCACAGCAUUUGUCUUCCUGGAAGCAAGGACCCAUCUCAGGUACCUGAUAUGUUUAUGCUUCAGAACAUGCAUGUUCAUACACAUUCAACACAAUUUGUGACAACAACUUUUCAGGCCACUGAUUUCCACGUGUACAUGUAUGUGAGAAAACACAGUAAGACAAAUGCAUCUUUAGUGGCUACCCUCGCAAUGUUAAUUUCUGUACCAUUGUAUUGGUUACUUAAUGUUAUGUUCCAGUUCUCUUGUGUUCUGAGUGCUCACACGCAUGGUUUUUUGUUUAUAGCUGAAUCUGUGAUCGGAACUGCUCUUCUCAUCCUACUGGUUGAAGGGCUACUAUAUGCCUGUUUUCUCAGACAAGAAUAUAGAUAUGUAUGUAUGGAAAGGUACAAUUCAUCAUCACACUGGCACAUAUGCGACAAAUGUAUUUAUCAUAUAAAUGAAUCAUUGUUAAUUGAUAAUUUCAUCGUGCUGUUGAGAGACUGACAAUUAAAUAUUAUGGAGGGAUAGUGUGAAGUUUUGAAAUGCACUAUGUUUGGCGGAAAAUACACCUGUUUUGUUAAACUGAAUUAACCAAGAACAAACAUGAAUAUAUGCCUUUCCAUUAUUUCACAAAAUCGUCUCCGGGAGAAAGGUGAUGUUUAAAAUGUAUCAGUCUCUUUGCUUAGUUUAAUACACGUACAUAACUUAUUCAACGUAUUCAAACUGAAGGUUUUUAGACACAUUCGCACAACACCCAACUGUGAAUGAAUAUGAGCUCAAAGUGUUACUUCCUUCUAGUGAUGGAGCCCAAUAAAUGAAGUAGACAAUGUUGGAUACUCAUCUGUAGGUAAGUAUUUUAAGUGAAUAGAACUUUCACUAGGAUUUUGACCUGGGUGUGAUAUGGAUUCAUGUAUAACGUACAUUGGUACUGAACGUCUUUGGCGAGGAUAAAGACCCUUUAUUUGUAUAUUCCGGGAGCAUACCAUAUUGGUUUAUGCAUCGAUAACAAACACGAUAAUGCAUGAUCAUCAAGUAAUUGUUUACUAUUGUUCUUUUGCAUCAAAAUCGGACCGAUGAACUGCAAUCUAACUCGAAAACUAAUAAACAUAUAAUGCUCAAUAAAACGGUGAUCAUAAUCAAAACAUCAGACCAACUCUGUGAGUUUUUUUGCAGAAUUUAUGUCCUAAAAAUAAGAAAAGCUGUUUAACAAAUCAUCAUUAAAGUAUUUACACGUCCACUUUUUGUUACGAGGGAGGAGUGCAAAUAGAGGAACAGCCAGGUGUGGGACAAAGGAUGGAGAAGGCACAGCUCCGAUCCGAUGUACGGAGAUACGUGUACCUGAUGGCCCAGAAACGACACGCACAUACGCACACACACUCGCACGCACACGUACAAGCACACUCGCUCGCACGCACAUAUGCACUCAAACGAAAAACAUCAUCACACAUACACACAAACACACUCAAACACGCAUACGCAGAAGCACACACGCACUUUCAAUAUGUAAUUUCUAUUAGCAAUACCUCCAGUUAUUCACAUUUUUUUGCAUAAAAUGUAUCUCUUGCACGCGUUAUCGUCUUUGUUGAUAGUGUUUUCACAAUAUAAAAUCAAUGUACACAACACUGUUUAUUGGUUUUGUGAGUUAUAUUGCACAUCUAGCAGGAAAGCUAUUUAACAAAUAUCAUAACUUGUGAUAUUCAUUUGUUGUUUACCGACGAUUGCAGUAGUAAUUCAGCUGUAUGAUCCCGGCCGAUGAAUAGUCGACUAAAGGACAGACAAACCAGACUGGCUACAGAUCAAGAUGACCCAGUGACCAAGCCGGACUGUCAAUCUACCGUGCAGACUGACAUACGUUUCCAAAGCAUUAGGUCAACUGCAGCAAAAUAUUAGUGAACGUAGUGAAUGUGAGUGUACUAGGGAUGGGUGAUCGCAGAAUCCUUGUACUUGAGGGGGACAUUACACCACCUGUCGAUAAGACCGACUCUACCUGAACGCUAUCUAGGCUAUCUAGGAUCUACAGGGAUCUAUGUUACUGCACUCCACUAUCCAUGACAGCCAGUUACCGAGUGGACAACGAAAGAUCGAUGCCCUGUGGUCUAAAUGUAAUGUUCACUCACAUUGUAGUGUCGACUGAUAGUCGACGGAUGACAAGCUCGUUUGAAGGAUGAAUAAGAAGAUUUGUGACAGUGGGACUAAGAUCUGUUGUAAUUCAACGUGUUGCUGUCGCUAGGUUACAGAGCCAGUGUGAUAGUAAUGUGAGUUGCUGUAUGUGCAGACAUUCGAUUAUGUAUAUUGCUCUGAAG